rnacentral:ncRNA from 1 species
GAUAACAGGCUGAUACCGCCCAAGAGUUCACAUCGACGGCGGUGUUUGGCACCUCGAUGUCGGCUCAUCACAUCCUGGGGCUGAAGCCGGUCCCAAGGGUAUGGCUGUUCGCCAUUUAAAGUGGUACGCGAGCUGGGUUUAGAACGUCGUGAGACAGUUC